GAUGAACGCUGGCGGCGUGCCUAAUACAUGCAAGUCGAGCGAACGGACGAGAAGCUUGCUUCUCUGAUGUUAGCGGCGGACGGGUGAGUAACACGUGGAUAACCUACCUAUAAGACUGGGAUAACUUCGGGAAACCGGAGCUAAUACCGGAUAAUAUUUUGAACCGCAUGGUUCAAAAGUGAAAGACGGUCUUGCUGUCACUUAUAGAUGGAUCCGCGCUGCAUUAGCUAGUUGGUAAGGUAACGGCUUACCAAGGCAACGAUGCAUAGCCGACCGGAGAGGGUGAUCGGCCACCCUGGAGCUGAGACACGGUCCAGACUCCUACGGGAGGCAGCAGUAGGGAAUCUUCCGCAAUGGGCGAAAGCCUUGCGGAGCAGCGCCGCGUGAGUGAUGACGGUCUUCGGAUCGUAAAACUCUGUUAUUAGGGAAGAACAUAUGUGUAAGUAACUGUGCACAUCUUGACGGUACCUAAUCAGAAAGCCACGGCUAACUACGUG
rnacentral:rRNA from 1 species